rnacentral:misc_RNA from 1 species
GCAAACUUGGUCAUUUAGAGGAAGUAAAAGUCGUAACAAGGUUUCCGUAGGUGAACCUGCGGAAGGAUCAUCUUUGAAUUUGAUCACCAAAUUUCCAGGGGGUCUGUGACCCAAUUUUGGGUUCAGGCUUUCUUAAUUAAUUCUGGGAAUUUGUACUUUUCUUUUGACGAGUACAUUUACCCGAAAAAUCUAAUUAAAAAAAUUAAUUACACAACUUUUAACGAUGGAUCUCUUGGCUCCCGCAUCGAUGAAGAACGCAGC